AAAAAGCCGUCUCCAUGGAAGCGGCCCUUCCGCUCGGAGCCCGGCGGCCUGGAGGGAGACCCGGCGGGGAUGCGAGGAUUCCGCCCCAGCCCCAGAGGACGCGGCGGAGAGCCUGGAGGAGGCGCUUUGAGAGUCGAGGUCUCCCGCCCGCGCGCCUCCCUGGCGCAGACCUCUUUUAACUUUUUGGCGUGGAGUGCGCGUCCUGACGUGCCCCCUGAGCUACAGCUUACUGAGCUUUACUGGCUUCGCCGGACAGCCGUCCCCAGGUGGAGAGACAGCGCGUCGCGCGCUGCCCGGGCCCCGCAGGGCCUGGCGCCUGGGGCCCUUGCGCCGCUUUGGGGCGAGGGGAUCACACCGCGGGCUCCCGGAGCUUAGCGUCUUCCACGCGGCGCUGUGUGUCAUCCACGCAGUGUGCUCUCGCUGCCGUGUUCAGGUCACUGCGAGGGUGAGCCCCGCUUUAUCUACCCCUUCUGCUGUUGAUGGGCACUCGUCUGGGGCUAGAAGGGAUAAGGUUGCUGUGAGCGUUCUCGUGUGUUUUUGGUGCACGCGCACACACAUUUCUCUGGGGUGCAGACCUGUCUAGUAGUGGAACUGCCGUUUCCCAGCACUUUGGAGCAAAGCCCUGUUGCAGUCUGAAGCGGAAAAGGCAGACGGGCCUUCCAUGUUCGUGAUUCCAGCCAGGCACAGAAGGGAAGGACAGGGACAGCAGCCGCGCGGAGGCGAGGAGGGACACUGGGCGCUGCUGUCCCCUCUCAGGGGCAGCCACUCCUCUUGUGGACGCAGGUGUGGUCACCAGAAGGGAAGGACAGCAGAGGACUCUUCAGGGACCUUCCUGGAUCCCCCUGCAAUGGGAGUGGCCUACUUGCUUGACUUGAGGGUGAGACUUGGUCAGCCCUUGACUGUAGGGGGCAGGACCAUGGGCUUCAGUGGGGCAGCACCCAUGACCCACGCCUCUGCUUCCAUUCCCUGCUUACUGCCCGGGCCUCUGGGCAGGGGAGUCUAGUCUCCCUUCCCAGGCUUCCAAUGCCUCGCCCCCUGCUGUGGUAAGGAUUCGCGCUGGUCCCUAUUUAUUAAUCAGGGAACUUGGGGUUCCAGUUUUCUCCCCUUCUCUGCAUCUCAUCCCCUUGAGAGCCCCCUGGAGCAGAGGAUAACGCACGAGGGGACUGGCUGUGUAUAUUUUGAUAACAAUAUCAAAAUACUGUCAAAUACUAAACGGAAAAGAAAUAGGAAAACAUUGAACUUUAUUAAAAUGAACUUCAAAAGACACCAUUAAGAGUAAAAAGAUGACUCACAAAAAAGUUGCCUUUUGUUCAGUAAACGACUCAGGACCAGAAAAUAUGAAGACCCCUACAACAAGAAAAAUAUAGAUAGCUCAGUUAAAAAUUGACAAAAGACUUGAAAAGAUAUUUCACAAAAGGAGAGAUCCAGACAGUCAAUCCACACACGAAAGGGUACUUAGCAUCAGGGAACUGCAAAUAGUGACAUUCGAUUCCAUAUCACAGCCACUGGAUGGCUAAAAUAGCAACGCCAAGUGCUGAUGAGACUGUGGAACAACCAGCUGGGCUCUCAUACCCUGCUGAUGGGAGAGUGGAUUGGAGCAACCACGUGGAAACAUCUAAUGGAGGCUCUCCUGAGAUGGCAAACAGGAGGUCUGGAUCAAUCCUACAGUGUCGGCAAAUGUCUGGAUUACCCUGCAAGGUAAAGAAAGCCUGCACAUAUGGGGCCUCAGACCAUCUGUCCUCAUAUCUACAGAAAAGAUCCAGCUGCUGGAUGGUAUUGAAAUGAAUUGUUCCUUCCUGAAGC
rnacentral:lncRNA from 1 species